rnacentral:rRNA from 1 species
UCCCCUUCGGGGGUGACGCUUGUGGAAUGAGCGGCGGACGGGUGAGUAACACGUGGGCAACCUGCCUGUAAGACUGGGAUAACCCCGGGAAACCGGGGCUAAUACCGGAUAAUACUUUCUUUUGCAUAAAGGAAAGUUGAAAGGCGGCUUCGGCUGUCACUUACAGAUGGGCCCGCGGCGCAUUAGCUAGUUGGUGAGGUAACGGCUCACCAAGGCGACGAUGCGUAGCCGACCUGAGAGGGUGAUCGGCCACACUGGGACUGAGACACGGCCCAGACUCCUACGGGAGGCAGCAGUAGGGAAUCUUCCGCAAUGGACGAAAGUCUGACGGAGCAACGCCGCGUGAGUGAUGAAGGUUUUCGGAUCGUAAAACUCUGUUGUUAGGGAAGAACAAGUACGAUAGUAACUGAUCGUACCUUGACGGUACCUAACCAGAAAGCCACGGCUAACUACGUGCCAGCAGCCGCGGUAAUACGUAGGUGGCAAGCGUUGUCCGGAAUUAUUGGGCGUAAAGCGCUCGCANGCGGUCCUUUAAGUCUGAUGUG